rnacentral:snoRNA from 17 species
CCUGGAUGAUGAUAAGAAGAUAACUGAUUGAACGUGAAGUUUUUAAUUAGCUCUAACUGAUU